ACACUCUCUCCUAGAGCUUGGCAGUGCUUGUCUGUCCGUGGAUGUCAGAGCUCUAGGUCUUCCACCUUUGUACUCUAGGACUCAUACCAGCAGUUCCUAGGCUCUCCAGCCUUCAGCCUUGGACUGAGAAUGUUACCACCAGCUUCCCUGAUUCCCAGGCCUUCGGACUUGGUCUGAACCACACUACCGGCUUUCUUGGUUCUUCAGCUUCCAGAUGGCCUAUUGUGGGAUUUCUCAGCCUCUGUAAUUGUAGUCUUCAGGUUUUUCCAUAUAUAACAUCAUAUCAUCUGCAAACAAGGACAAUCUGACUUCUUCCUUUAUGAACUUUGGAGAAGUUUCCUGUCUGUAAAAAGGAGUCUCCCAUCAGCCUUUGCAGGGAAUUUUUACAGGUCAGCUGCUGCUCCUGGAAGCCAGCAGGUCUUCCUCCAUCAUACAAAAGACAAAUACAUGCAAAGCAGUUUCUAACAGAAGGACUCUCUCUCACCAUAGACAUCAAAGCUGGGAAUGUGCUGAAUUUCACCUGAAGUCAGCAAGUCUGUCUCACCCAAGGCCCUCAACAUAGUACUUGCUUAUUGCUGCUGGUUCUUCAAGGUCCAAAUGCUCUUCAGUUAGCAGGUGAUAAAUCCUGUCAGAACUGCCUCCUUCCCUUCAAGAAAGUAAGUUCCCUUCUGGCCCAGGGUGUGUCUAGAAAUGUCUUCCAGGAACUAAAGCCCAGAAAGGAGGCCUCACCACUCUGAUACCCUAUCCUGCUGGUAUCCAAGAUGCAAGACCAAGUCCUCCCCAUCCUUCCCUCUCCUCACCUCAAGCAGAAGGAAGGGGUCUGUUUUAGAGCCAUGAGGUGUGUAGCCUUGGAUUAUGGGAGGGGUGAUGCCAGCACACCCUUAGCCACCCCACCUUGUUUCUCAGUAGGUUGCAUGCCCCCUUCACAUGGUGCGCUGGCCCUAAGUUCAGUUCAGCAUUAGGACUUGCCUUGCAGUUGCUAUCCUUGUGGUCUACCUUGCCUUUCAAGUUUACUUAGGGCUCCAGAGUACUUUCACCUGCUAUGAUGAGGCUUUUGUGGGAAGUUAAGUUCUGACCACUAAGAUCUGUGAUUUGCCUCUGGCUAGGGGUUGUUUGAAUGCUCCCUCAGUGGCAAGGCACCCCCUGAGUUUGGUCUGGGUUUUCUUUCUGCUUUAACAGGGCAGUCCUGGAUUCAGUGCCUCGCAUUUGUGGUGCUCUCCCUCUCCCCAUUGCAAGGAAACACUCUCUGCACCAUGCUGCCCCUGCCAGGGGAUGGGAGACGGAUGGUGUCAGUGAUUUAAGAUUUCUUUCCUACCUAAGUGCCUCUUUCAGGAAUAUAAAGUUAAAACCAGCCAUCAUCACCACCAGUAGAUGCUGCUUAGGAACCUGAGGAUUUUCCUGCCACUUCUACUGCCAUAUCCCAUGCCGUGCAUGUUGCCCGGGAAUCCAAAAACCAAGCCCCUGCCUGGACCACUACUGCCACUGUUGGCAUCUGAGAAAGCCACCUGGAGGCCUAAGAAUUGGCUCACCUCAAGCUGCUAACAGUAGUGCCCACCUGGGGGCCCAAAGACAAACAGGCUUGGCCUGCCGCUGCCACUAUGGGGCCAGAGGACUAGUCCACCUCAUGUCUCCAUCCCCACCUCAGGCUUGGAAAAGCCUCAAAUCUGCCAAGAACCCUAUGCCCAGUAAUAUGGUUUGACUGUGUUCCCACCCAAAUCUCAUCUUGAAUUCCCAUGUGUCAUGGGAGGGAGCCAGUGGGAGGUAAUUGAAUCAUGGAGAUCAUGGGGGUGGGUCUUUCUCAUGCUGUUCUCGUGAUAGUGAAUAAGUAUCACGAGAUCUGAUGGUUUUAUAAAGAGGAGUUCCUCCCUACAAGUUCACUCUCUUUGCCUGCCUCCAUCCAUGUAAGGCCUGACUUGUUCUUCCUUGCCUUCUACCAUGAUUGUUGGGCCUCCCCAGCCACGUGGAACUGUAAGUCCAUUAAAUCUCACUUUCUUCCCAGUCCUGGGUACAUCUUUAUCAGCAGCAUGUAAACAGACUAAUAUAGUAAAUUGGUACCAGUAGAGUGGGACGCUGCUGAAAAGAUACCCAAAAAUGUGGAAGUGACAUUGGAACUGGGUAACAGGCAGAGGUUGGAACAAUUUGGAGGGCUCAGAAUAAGACAGGAAAAUGUGGGAAAGUUUGGAACUUCCUAGAAACUUGUUAAAUGGCUUUGAGCAAAAUGCUGAUAAUAAGGACAAUGAAAUCCAGGCUGAGGUGGUCUCAGAUGGAGAUGAGGAACUUGCUGGGAACUGAAGUAAAGGUGACUAUUGCUAUGUUUUAGCAAAGAGACUGGCAGUAUUUUGCCCUGCCCUAAAGAUUUGUGCAACUUUGAACUGGAGAGAGAUGAUUUAGGGUAUCUGGAAGAAGAAAUUUCUAAGCAGCAAAGCAUUCAAAAGGUGACUUGAGUGCUGUUAAAGCCAUUCAGUUUUAUAAGAGAAGCAGAAUGUUAAAGUUCAGAAAAUUUGCUGCCUGACAAUGUGAUAGAAAAGAAAAUCCCAUUUUCUGAGGAGAAAUUCAAGCUGGCUGCAGAAAUUUAUAUAAGUAAUGAGGAGCCAAAUGUUAAUCACCAAGACAAUGGGGAAAAUGUCUCCAGGGCAUGUCAGAGGUCUUCACAGCAGGCACCCCCAACAUCACAGGCCGGAGGCUUAGGAGAAAAAAUUGUUUCAUGGGCCAGGCCCAGGGUCUCUGUGCUGUGUGCAGUCUAGGGACUUGGUGCCCUGUGUCCCAGCAGCUCCAGCCAUGGCUGAAAGGGGCAAAGGUAGAGAUUGGGCCAUGGCUUCAGAGGGUGCAAGCUCCAAGCCAUGGCAGCUUCCAUGUGGUGUUGAGCCUGCAAGUGCACAGAACUCAAGAAUUGGGGUUUGGGAACCUCUGCCUAGAUUUCAGAGAAUGUAUGGAAAUGCCUGGAUGUCCAGGCAGAAGUUUGCUGCCAGGGUGGGGCCUUCAUGGAGAACCUCUGCUAGGGCAGUGUGGAAUGGAAAUGUGAGAUUGAAGCCCCCACACACAGUCCCUACUGGGGCACUGCCUAGUGUAGCUGUGAAAAGAGAGGUACCGUACUCCAGACCAGAAUGGUAGAUCCACUGACAGCUUGCACCAUGCACCUGGAAAAGCCACAGACACUCAACUCCAGCCCAUGAAAGCAGCCAGGAGUGAGGCUGUACCCUGCAAAGCCACAGGGGCAGAGCUUCCCAAGACCGUGGGAACCCAUCUCUUGCAUUGGUGUGAUCUGAAUGUGAGGCCUGGAGUCAAAGGAUAUCAUUUUGGAGCUUUCAGAUUUGACUGCCCCACUGGAUUUUGGACAUGUAUGGGGCCUGUAGCCCUCUUCUUUUGGCCAAUUUCUCCCAUUUGGAAUGGCUGAAUUUACCAAAUGCCUGUACCUCCAUUGUUUCUAGGAAGUAACUAACUUCCUUUUGAUUUUAUAGGCUCAUAGGUGGAAGCGCCUUGCCUUUUCUCAGAUGAGACUUUGGACCGUGGACUUUUGAGUUGAUGCUGAAAUGAGUUAAGACUUUGAGGGACUGUUGGGGAGGCAUUAUUGGUUUUGAAAUAUGAGGACAUGGGAUUUGAGAGAAGCCGGAGCAGAAUAAUAUGGUUUGGCUCUGUCCCCACCCAAAUCUCACCUUGAAUUCCCAUGUGCUGUGAGAGGGACUCAGUGAGGUAAUUGAAUCACGGAGAUCAUGGGGCAGCUCUUUCUUGUGCUGUUCUCAUGAUAGUGAAUAAGUCUCAUAAGAUCUGAUGGUUUUAUAAAGAGGAGUUCUCCUGCACAAGCUCUCUCUCUUUGCCUGCCUCUAUCCAUGUAAGAUGUGACCUGCCCCUCCUUGUUUUCCACCAUGAUUGUGAGGCCUCCCAGCCAUGUGGAACUGUAAGUCCAUUAAGCCUCAUUUUCUUGCCAGUCUCAGGUACAUCUUUAUCAGCAGCAAAAGCAUUCCCAAGAGGGACAUUUAUAGCAAUAGAACCUACAUCAACAAAGUAGAAAGAUUUCAAAUAAAUGAUCUUAAGGAUGCAUCUCAGGGAACUCAAAAAGCAAGAACAAACCUAACCCAAAAUUAAUAGGUAGAAAGAAAUAGCAAAGAUUCCUCUCUACCAAAGUGAACCAGAAAGAAAUAAAAAAUCUGAAAAGACCAAUAAUGAUUAAUGAAAUUGAAUCAUAAUCAAAAGUCUCCCAAGAAAGAAAAGCCUAGAUUCUGAUGCCUUCACUGCUGAAUUCCAUCAAACUUAAGAAGGACUACUACUAAUUAUUCUGAAACUAUUCCCAAAAAACUGAAGAAGAGAAAAUUCUCCCUAACUCAUUUCAUGAGGUCAGAAUUACCCUGAUUCUAAAACAAGACAAGGACACAACAAAAGCAACCUACAGGUCGAUAUCCCUGAUGAACAUAGAUGAAAAAAUUUCUUAUCAAAAUACUAUUAUACUGAAUCCAACAGCAUAUAAAAAAGAUAAUACUUUCUUAUCAAGUGGGAUUCAUCCCAGGGAUAAAAUGAUUGAUAGAUCAAUAUCUGCAAAUCAGUAAACACAAUUCAUCACAUCAAUAGAAUGAAGAAGAAAACCAAAUAUCUCAAUAGAUGCAGAAAAGCAUUUGAUAAAACUCAAUGUCUCUUCAUGAUAAAAACUCUCAACAAACUAGGCAUAUAUGGAUCAUACCUCAACAUGAUAAAGGGCCAUAUAAAACAGACCCACAACUGACAUAGUGAAUGAGGAAAAGAUCAAAGCUCCUUUUCUCUAAGAACUGGAAAAAAGAUGAAGAUGACUAUUUUUGCCAGCCCUAUUCAACAUAGUAGUACUUGAAGUACUAGCCAGAGAAAUCAGGCAAGAAAAAGACAUCCAGAUAGAAAUAAAGGAAGUCAAAUUGUCCCUCUUUGCAGAUGAGUUGAUCUUAUAUUUAGAAAAACUGGCCAGGUGCGGUGGCUCAUGCCUGUAAUCCCAGCACUUUGGGAGGCUGAGGUGGGCAGAUCAUGAGGUCAGGAGAUCGAGACCAUCCUGGCUAACAUGGUGAAAACCCAUUUCUAAUAAAAAUACAAAAAAUUAGCCGGGCGUGGUGGUGGGCACCUGUAGUCCCAGCUACUCGGGAGACUGAGGCAGGAGAAUCACGUAAACCCGGGAGGCAGAGCUUGCAGUGAGCCAGAAUUGCGCCACUGUACUCCAGCCUGGGUGACAGAGUGAGACUCUGUCUGAAGGAAAGGAAAGGAGAGGAGAGGGGAGGGGAGGGAGAACGUAAGCACUCCUCCAAAAAAACAUAAAUCUUAGAUCUGACUUAAAAAUUUAGUCAAGUUGCAGAAUACAAAAUCAACAUACAAAAAUCAGUGAUGUUUCUAAACACCAGUAAUGAACUAGCUGAAAUAAAUCAAGAAGGAAAUACUAUUUACAAUAGGUACAAAAAAUAUGAAAUACCUAGGAAUAAAUUUAACCAGGGAUAUUAAAGACCUCUGCAAGGAAAACUACAAAAACCCCAUCUCUACUAAAAAUACAAAAAUUAGCCAGGCAUGGUGGUGCACACCUGUAGUCCCAUCUACUUGUGAGGCUGAGGCAGGAGAAUCACCUGAACCGGGGAUGCAAAGGUUGCAGUAAGCCAAGAUUAUGCCACUGCACUUCAGCUUGGGUGACAGAGUAAGACUGUGUCUCAAAAAAAAAAAAAAAAAAUUGAAGAAGACACCAAAAAUUAGAAAGACGUCCCAUGUGCAUGGAUUGAAAGAAUAUUGUUAAAAUGACCAUAUUGCCCAAAACAAUCUACAGAUUCCAUACAUACCACUUCAAAAUACCAAUGGCAUUCUUCACAGAAAUAGUAAAACAUAAAGCCAAAAUUCACAUGGCACCAAAAAAGAGCCCAAAUAGCCAAAGAAAUUCUGAUCAAAAAGAACAAAGCUGGAGUCCACACACUAUCUGAUAUUCAAAAUAUAUUACAAGGAUAUAGUAACAAAACAGCAAAGUAUUGGUAUAAAAACAGAUAUACAGACAAUUGUAACAGAAUAAAGAACUCAGAAAUAAAUUCACAUAAUUACAACUAACUGAUUUUUGACAAAUGUGCCAAGAACACACAUUCAAUAAAUUACACUCUUUUCAAUAAAUGGUGGUGGGAAACUGGAUAUUCAUAUACAGAAGAAUGAGACUAGUAACCUAUCUCUUACCAUAUAUAAAAAUCCACUAAGAUUAAAGAUCUAAGCUUAUGACCUAAAACUAUAAACUACUAGAUGAAAACAUAGUGAAAACCCUCUAGGACAUUGGUCAAGGCAAAUAUUUUAUGGCUAAGACCUCAAAAGCACAGGCAACAAAAAUAGACAAAUGGGACUAUAUUAAACUAAAAAGCUUCUGCACAGCAAAUGAGACAAAAUUAUGAAGAGACAACCUAUUUAAUGGGAGAAAAUAUUUGUAAACUAUUCAUCUGUCAAGGAACUAAUGCCCAGAAUAAACAAUGAACUAAAAAAUAGAAAAGUAAAACAAUCCUAUUAAAAAGUAGGCAAAGGACACAUAAACAGAUAUUUCUGAAAAGGAGGCAUACAAAUGGCCAAUAGGUAUAUUGAAAAAUGCUCAGUAUCAUGAAUCAUUAGGAAAAUGCAAAUCAAAACCACAAUAAGAUAUAUAUAAUUUCUAUAAUUAUUUACCAUAAGAUAUUAUUUCUAUCACAUUGCCUUUAACCAAAGAUUGAAGACAGGUUCUAGAAAAGAAUAAAGGGGAAUAGCUCACAGGUUACAGAAAAAUGUAUGAGAUAGUUUGAUUAGUAGCCCUGUUAUAUCUCUGUCACCACAGCUACUGAACAAAUGUUUCAUUUAAUCUAUAAAUCUAUAAUUGAGGAAGGAAAGCAUUUCAAUGGGACAGGUGAAAAAGGACAAUCAAUUCAAAAUUAGAUACAGAAGAAUUUCUUUCAAAACCAGUAUGCUGGAUUCUCCUAAUGCUAAGAAAAAGAUUGUGAGUUGUAGAUCUACAGUAAAUUAAAAGGUAAAACAUGACAAUGAUUUGCAAAAAUAUGUCUAAGAAAGUUGUGUUUUAACGAAAAUUCAAGUGAAGGGAAGGUUUUAUUUUUUUAUUUAUUUCUUUUCUCUUUUUUCUUUUUUUUUUAGAUCGAGUCUUGCUCUGUUGCCCAGGCUGGAGUACAGUGGCAUGAUCUUGGCUCACUGGAACCUCCGCCUCCUGGGUUGAAGCAAUUCUCCUGCCUCAGCCUUUCAAGUAGCUGGGACUACAGGCGCACACCACCAUGCCUGGCUAAUUUUUGUUAUUUUAGUAAAGACGGGGUUUCACCAUAUUGGCCAAGCUAGUCUUGAACUCCUGACCUUGUGGUCCACCUGCCUUGGCCUCCCAAAGUGCUGGGAUUACAGGCACGAGCCACCACACCUGGACAGUGAAAAGAAGUUUAAGCACCAAAGUGGUCUCCUUUGGGUCAUGUGUCAUCUUUCUCCAGUGUAUUUGAAAAAGUAAGAGGGUUUGUCUCACAAGAACUCAUCAGUUAUCCCCAUGACAGAUCUCUGCUGACCCUCCUACUCCCUUCUCUGUGGUUGGUUACUUCUUACUUCACCCACAGAGUUCACAUGGAAUUUCAACCCUGGCUCUCGCUGACCCAGUGUGUGCCAAUGCUGACCUCUCCAGAAUGGAAAUAUGAAGAUGGUACCAUUUCUUUCAACCCUGAACUUCAUUCUACAUAUAGAAACCUCCACUUUACUGAAUGUUUGAAAAUAUCUAGAAAGCAUUACAACUUAAGACGUAUGGAGGAGGAAGAGGUUACCUUCAAAGUUAUGCUAACUGUGACUCUCUUGGGAAUCUAAGAAAAAAAAUUAAAACUUUGCCUUCCACAAGAGAACGUCUCAUGGGAAACUCCCUGUUUUUAGAGUUUAUUUUUCUAUGUGGAGAUCUAAUCUACAUUCUUUCAGAGGUGGUCGUGUCCUUAAUUCUUUGGUACAAAUCUCCACCACUCUUCAGGAGGUCCUAGUUCCUUCCCUUCAGAGGGAUCAGACCUACUCCUUAAGCCCUGUAGCUCAUUCAUUCCCCCAAAUUGAAUUCCUGAGUAGAGAAUAGUAGUACGUCAAGGUGCUUCAGCAGGCGAGUAUAGUAAGUACUUGGUACUAGACUCAGGAAACAUCAGUCUAGUGUAGAUUUUGAGAGCCAAACUAUGGUCUGCUCUAAGUUUCUCCACCUUUGUGAGGUAAAGACAUGCUUUCUUGGUCUCCUGGUAACAGCCAGAGUAUAUACAUAUGUAUACAUAUGUAUAUAUACCUAUAAAAUGUGUGUGUGUGUGUAUAUAUAUAUAUGUUUUAACUGUAGUUAUACACACACACAAUUCUCAUAAUAUGAAUGUAAAAAAUAAAAUGUUUUGAUUUUAAUUUCUCUAAUGACCAGUGAUGAUGAGCUUUCUUUCAUGUUUGUUGGAUGCAUAAAUGUCUUCUUUUAAGAAGUGUCUGUUCAUAUCCUUUGCCCAUGUUUUGAUGGUGUUGUUUUUUUUCUUGUAAAUUUGUUUAAGUUCUUUGUAGAUUCUGGAUACUAGUUCUUUGUCAGAUGGAUAGAUUGCAAAAAUAUUCUCUCAUUCUGUAGGUUGCCUGUUCACUCUGAUGAUAGUUUCUUUUGCUGUGCAGAAGCUUUUUAGUUUAAUUAGAUCACAUUUGUCAAUUUUGGCUUUUGUUGCCAUUGCUUUCUGUGUUUUAGUCAUGAAGUCUUUAUUGUGGCACUGUUCACAAUAGCAAAGACUAGGAAAACAACUGAAAUGCCCAUCAAUGAUAGGCUGGAUAAAGAAAAUGUGGCACAUAUACACCAUGGAAUACUAUGAAGCCAUAAAAAAGGAUGAGUUCAUGUCUUCCGCAGGGACAUGGAUGAAGCUGGAAACCAUCAUUCUCAGCAAACUAACACAAGAACAGAAAGCCAAACACCGCAUGUUCUCACUCAUAAGUGGGAGUUGAAUGAUGAAAACACAUACAUGGACACAGGGAGGGGAACAGCACAUACUGGGGCCUGUCGGGGGGUGGUGGGCUAGGGUAGGGAUAGCAUUAGGAGAAAUACCUAAUGUAGAUGACCUGUUGAUGGGUGCAGCAAACCACCAUGGCACAUGUAUACCUGUGUAACAAACCUGCAUGUUCUGCACAUGUACCCCAGAACUUAAAGUAUAACAAAAAACAAAUAAAUAAAACGUAUUUCUGUAAAUUAAAUGUUAUUUUUACAACGAAGAUAUUAUAU
rnacentral:lncRNA from 1 species